GAUGAACGCUGGCGGCGUGCCUAAUACAUGCAAGUCGAGCGAACAGAUGAGGAGCUUGCUCCUCUGACGUUAGCGGCGGACGGGUGAGUAACACGUGGAUAACCUACCUAUAAGACUGGGAUAACUACGGGAAACCGGAGCUAAUACUGGAUAAUAUAUUGAACCGCAUGGUUCAAUAGUGAAAGACGGUUUUGCUGUCACUUAUAGAUGGAUCCGCGCCGCAUUAGCUAGUUGGUAAGGUAACGGCUUACCAAGGCAAGGAGGCGUAGCCGACCUGAGAGGGUGAUCGGCCACACUGGAACUGAGACACGGUCCAGACUCCUACGGGAGGCAGCAGUAGGGAAUCUUCCGCAAUGGGCGAAAGCCUGACGGAGCAACGCCGCGUGAGUGAUGAAGGUCUUCGGAUCGUAAAACUCUGUUAUUAGGGAAGAACAAAUGUGUAAGUAACUAUGCACGUCUUGACGGUACCUAAUCAGAAAGCCACGGCUAACUACGUG
rnacentral:rRNA from 1 species